rnacentral:rRNA from 1 species
UACGUAGGGUGCAAGCGUUAAUCGGAAUUACUGGGCGUAAAGCGUGCGCAGGCGGUUCGCUAAGACAGAUGUGAAAUCCCCGGGCUUAACCUGGGAACUGCAUUUGUGACUGGCGGGCUAGAGUAUGGCAGAGGGGGGGUGGAAUUCCACGGGUGGUAAGCAGUGAAAUGCGGUAGAGAAUGUGGAGGAACACCGAUGGCGAAGGCAGCCCCCUGGGCCAACUACUGACGCUCAUGCACGAAAGCGUGGGGAGCGAAACAAGG